CAAAUAUUUUUCUCCAGCCUGGUGUCCAGAUAACAUCAGAUAAUCAGUCUAGUUACUAGUUCUCUUCUACCUGCUUAAAUCUGGGAUAUUUCCAUAGCUUUGCAUCUCUGCUUUGAAAUACAUAUUUUAAACAAUACAUCGUGCCCCCUUUGUAAUGGACAGCUGCUCACUCAGGAUUUUCUCCUGUCUUUUCGUGGUCAGAUUUAACUUCUCCAGGACUGCCCAGAUGACUGCGUGGAUGAUUUGUGUCCUUCUAAGGCAGCUCACUUAGAGACAUAUGGCGCACGCCCUUUGGUGGUGAUGCUAUUUUUAAUCACCCGAUCAAGCGUUUGGUGAAAAAUAGCCAGCCCAGGUCUGGCGUCUGGGGCUGAAAGGGCGCUGAUGGUUUGAUAACUGAAAGAAGGUUUGAACACAAGGCCAGAAGUAUACGCUGUCCUCCCAAGAGAAUGGAACAUCCUGCAUUGAUGCAUAUCUGGAGCAACAAGACCUUCAUGUUUUCAAGGUGAUGAGAGAGGACACUUUAAGAGUGAUCGCUGGGCUGUGACUGUCAAACAGAGGCCUAAGUACAUCCUCCCUCUCUGGAGACAAGACGGACAGGUGCAGGAGCAGAGCCCACUCGGAGCUUUGAUUGAUUUCUUCUACCGGAAGGGAAGUUGUGCUUAUUCAUCUCCACUUGGAAUUCUUAAGCCCAGCCUGAGAAGGAUGAUUGUGUCUUCUCCUUCCCCAGCUGAGGAGGAAGGACAGAAGAGGGAGCU